GACGAACGCUGGCGGCGUGCUUAACACAUGCAAGUCGAACGGAAAGGCCCUGCUUUUGUGGGGUGCUCGAGUGGCGAACGGGUGAGUAACACGUGAGUAACCUGCCCUUGACUUUGGGAUAACUUCAGGAAACUGGGGCUAAUACCGGAUAGGAGCUCCUGCUGCAUGGUGGGGGUUGGAAAGUUUCGGCGGUUGGGGAUGGACUCGCGGCUUAUCAGCUUGUUGGUGGGGUAGUGGCUUACCAAGGCUUUGACGGGUAGCCGGCCUGAGAGGGUGACCGGCCACCUUGGGACUGCGAUACGGACCAGUCUCCUACGGGAGGCAGCAGUGGGGAAUAUUGCACAAUGGGCGGAAGCCUGAUGCAGCAACGCCGCGUGCGGGAUGACGGCCUUCGGGUUGUAAACCGCUUUCGCCUGUGACGAAGCGUGAGUGACGGUAAUGGGUAAAGAAGCACCGGCUAACUACGUG
rnacentral:rRNA from 1 species